AAUGACACUUGAUUUAAAAAACCCUAACCACAACAUUAGCCGUCACCUUCACCCACCUCACCAUUUUCUAUAUAAUAUAUAUAUAUAUAUAUAUAUAUAUAUCAAAUGACACUUGAUUUAAAGAACCCUAACCACAACAUUAGCCUUCACCUUCACCCACCCCACCAUUUUCUAUAUAUAUAUAUAUAUAUAUAUAUAUAUAUAUAUAUAUAUAUAUAUAUAUAUCAAAUGACACUUGAUUUAAAAAAUCCUAACCACAACAUUAGCCAUCACCUUCACCCACUCCACCAUUUUCUCUCAAAACGGCGAGGCGAUCUCUUUUCUCACUUUCUGCAACUUAUCCCAUUCUCCACUCUCACUCUCUGAUGAACCCACCGUCACUCCCUUCCUCCUCUUUUCAGCCAAGUGAGGUCUGUGCAGAACCCAGAACCCAUCUUCUGCAGAACCAAUCUGUCAAAAGUUGCAAAGACGAGUUGCAGAUGGUGAACGGCCGGUGAUGAGAUUCCUGCCGAUGGUGAAUCGGAAAUUGUAGAACCGCCUAGACCGCCGCCUAGGCGGCUGCCUAUUUCCUCCCCCUUUUGUGAACGCCCUGACCAAAAUCAC
rnacentral:lncRNA from 1 species